rnacentral:rRNA from 1 species
GUGGCGGCGACCGGCGAAAGGGUGCGUAACGCGUGAGCGACAUACCCGCACCGGGGGAUAACAGAUGGAAACGUCUACUAAUACCCCAUAACAACGAGGAUCGCAUGGUCCAUGUUUGAAAGAUUAAUCGGUUGUGGAUUGGCUCGCGUCCCAUUAGCUAGUCGGCGGGGUAACGGCCCACCGAGGCGACGAUGGGUAGGGGUUCUGAGAGGAAGGUCCCCCACAAUGGAACUGAGACACGGUCCAUACUCCUACGGGAGGCAGCAGUGAGGAAUAUUGGUCAAUGGGCGGAAGCCUGAACCAGCCAUGCCGCGUGCAGGACGACGGCCCUAUGGGUUGUAAACUGCUUUUGCGAGGGAGCAAUAAGGGCCUCGAGCAGGUCCGAUGAGAGUACCUUGCGAAUAAGCAUCGGCUAACUCCGUGCC